AUAUUCUUUACUCGAGGUUGAAUAUUUGACAGCAUAACAAGUAUUUUGAUUAUUUGUUUAUUCUCGUAAGAAAACUUGACAAACCCUUCUGAGACGAAUAUUUAGUUUUUGGACAUCAUUUGCAUCUGGAAAUGAACACUCAACGUAAUACUCAGCGAAAAAGGUAGCAAUUUCGUUAGUUUUAUGGUACAUGUGCAAAAGAUGAUGCUGUUGGCUUUUAGCAUAAUCAGAGAAAACAACAAUAGAAAGUUGCUGAUUGAUUUUGAAUCGUGUGAUGUUGUAAAUAGCACAGAAGCUUUGACUUGCUUAAAUGUAGACCACGUGGCGGAUAUGUUUUCAUAAAUUAGAUAAGUAUAUGUUUAGAUAAAUUUGGUUUUUAAAGCUACUUGCCCAUAGUUUAGGUGAAAAAAUUUCAAUGUUAAUUUCCGCCAUGUCUGGCAUAUGACACUGAAAAAAUGAUGAAGUGGGUGAAAGUAAAGUUAGAUAUUGGAAAAAAUGCAAGAAUAAUGUAAAUUGGCUGCAUUACUUCAAAAUCGUUGAAACUGCUUGUUCCUUCUGCACACUAUAUUUGGUUAUUUUUAAAGAGGCAUCACAAAAUAACUGUAUUCUUUUGUAUUUCCAUGAUGGUAAUUAUACAUGUUUCGCAUGAAGAAAAUGAGAAAUAACAAGUAUCUAGUUACAAAUUG
rnacentral:lncRNA from 1 species